rnacentral:rRNA from 1 species
GUGGGGAAUUUUGGACAAUGGGGGCAACCCUGAUCCAGCAAUGCCGCGUGCAGGAAGAAGGCCUUCGGGUUGUAAACUGCUUUUGUACGGAACGAAACGGUCCUGGUUAAUACCUGGGGCUAAUGACGGUACCGUAAGAAUAAGCACCGGCUAACUACGUGCCAGCAGCCGCGGUAAUACGUAGGGUGCAAGCGUUAAUCGGAAUUACUGGGCGUAAAGCGUGCGCAGGCGGUUUUGUAAGACAGGCGUGAAAUCCCCGGGCUCAACCUGGGAAUUGCGCUUGUGACUGCAGUGCUGGAGUGCGGCAGAGGGGGAUGGAAUUCCGCGUGUAGCAGUGAAAUGCGUAGAUAUGCGGAGGAACACCGAUGGCGAAGGCAAUCCCCUGGGCCUGCACUGACGCUCAUGCACGAAAGCGUGGGGAGCAAACAGGAUUAGAAACCCCUGUAGUCC